GGGGGGGGGGGGGGGGGGGGGGGGGGGGGGGGGGUCGGGGGGCGGGGGGGGGGGGGCGUGCGCGUGCGGGGGGCGAGUGGCGGGCGGGGGGGGAAUGCAUCGGCAUCUACUUUUUCGUGGGGGAUUACGUAGGGAAACUUACGCUCAUACCGCAUACGACCUACGGGUGGAAGCAGGGGGUCUUCGGACCUUGCGCGCUUGAAUGAGCCGAUGUCGGCUUAGCUAGUUGGCGGGGUAAAGGCCCCCCACGGCGACGAUCCGUCGCUGGUCUGAGUGGCUGAUCGGCCACACUGGACCUGAGAGUCUGGCCAGACUCCUACGGGAGGCAGCAGUGGGGAAUAUUGGACACUGGGCGCAAGCCUGAUCCAGCCAUACCGCGUGGGUGAAGAAGGCCUUCGGGUUGUAAAGCCCUUUUGUUAGGAAAGAAAAGCAGCAGGUUAAGACCCCGCUGUUCUGACGGGACCCAAAGAAUAAGCACCGGCGAACUUCGU
rnacentral:rRNA from 1 species